rnacentral:lncRNA from 1 species
CCAGCCAAUUAAAUUUCAAUUAUUGGGCCUUAAUGGUUAUUUUAAAAGUCAAGUCAUUGUCCGUCAAGUCCAAAAGUCCAACAAAUUCGGAUUGAGGAUUGAUUUGCAAAAGUUGCUGGGUUAAAAUGACGUUCCUCACAAAUUUUAUAGAUAAUGUUAAAAUUGAAAUACUAACUAGGCAAUCCAAGAGGGGGGGGUGAAUUGGGAUUUUAAAAAUUAAGCUAAGCAAACCACAAAUCCAAUCUAAUGCCUUAAUAAAUUCGAAAACAAUAAAUUCAAUGAAAGCACAAUAAUAAAUGAGUAAGGGAAGAGAAAGCAAACUCAAGGAUUUUUACGUGGUUCGGCAAUCCCCGCCUACGUCCACGCCUCCAAGCACACCGGGCUUGAGGAUUUCACUAUCCAAGCCUUUCCAAGGCUUCAAACGUUUACAAUUGACUUCAAGGUGUCAAUGAAUCUUUACAACAAGAGCUUAUCUCUCCAAUCUCUUCACUCCAAGUGUUUCUCACACUUGUACUCUCACAAUUUGAUGAGAAAUGAAAAAUACAACAAUCAAUCUCUCUUUAAGAGUGGAUAUACAAAUUGAAGAACAAAAAUGAUUUAAUGAAUGAUGAUUCAUGAAGUUGAAGCUCAAUAUAUAUUGUGUGCACUUGUUCUUGCUUGCUUGGAUUUUGCCAAAAAUGAAUUGGUUUUGAGUUUAUAUAGUUUGAACUCAAAAACUAGCCGCUAUGCACAUUCUGGGCAUAUCCGGUUUGCCGUUUAUGGAAUUCGAUAAGCCGGAUUUAUGUUACCGUUAAGGCAAAAUUUUGAAUUUUGCCUAUCCAGCUUGCCGGUUACGAAAUCCGAUAAGCCGUUUGCGUUCCGGAUGCUUACUGCCCCGUAUCCGGUUUUCCAGUUUUUAUAUCCGGUAAGCCGGAUGCUACAGUAACCUGCACAGUGCACUAUUUUCUAAAAUUAUAGUUUGACCCCAAAACUUUACAAAACUAUAUUACGGCCCAAAACGUUAUGAAAUUUUACAAAUAUGUCCAAUUUUAGAAUUUUUAAGUAAUGCUUUGUUAAUCUCAAAACUUUUUGAAAUUAUGAUAUAGCCCAAAAAGCUGACACUUUUCAAAUAAGUCCAUCUUCAAAAUUUCAAGCAAUACUUGUUUAUUUCAAUGUUUUCAAAAUUCUUUCAAUUAAACCAUAAACUUUGAAAAACAACUAAUUUCAUAAAAUUAUUUUUCCAUUAAAUAUGAAACAUUUAUAAUGUGAAAAUAAUGAUUUAUUUAAAAAGAAUAAAAACAAUCAAUUUCAUAAAAUCGUUUUUCCAUUAAAUAUAAAACCUUUAUAAUGUAAAAAUAAUGAUUUAUUUAAAAAGAAUAUUAAAUAAUUUGAGCUUAAAAGAUUAAUCAUUCUUAAUCUUGUUUGUUAUCAUCAAAAUCAAUAUUAUGGAAACAUAUAUGUUAACAAUCUCCCCCUUUUUGAUGAUGACAAACAUUUCAUGUAUUUAAAGAAUGAUUCCACAAAAAUAAUUUGAGCUUAAAAGAUUUAUCAUUCUUAAUCUUGUUUGUUAUCAUCAAAAUCAAUAUUAUGGAAACAUAUAUGUUAACAAUCUCCCCCUUUUUGAUGAUGACAAACAUUUCAUGUAUUUAAAGAAUGAUUCCACAAAAAUAAUUUGAGCUUAAAAGAUUUAUCAUUCUUAAUCUUGUUUGUUAUCAUCAAAAUCAAUAUUAUGGAAACAUAUAUGUUAACAAUCUCCCCCUUUUUGAUGAUGACAAACAUUUCAUGUAUUUAAAGAAUGAUUCCACAAAUUGCUCCCCCUAAAAAUAAUCUUCUCUUACAAUUUGCCAAUUAGCUAAAUUAACAUAUUUAAAUAUAUGGAUUUUUCUCCCCCUCAUCAUCAAAAAGAAAAACUUAAUUGGCAAAAAAAAAAUAUCAAAAUUUUUUUUUAAUAAAUUUGAAGACAUGUAUUCUUCUCCUCCUUCAUCAUAAAAAAGAAAACGUAAAGGAAAAGAAUAAAAGUAGUAAAUUUGUUACCCAUGUUAUUUGAGUAGAAAUUUUGAAAGAAUCUCCCCCUAACAACAAGCAUCACCUCAAAUAUAAAUUUAAUAAUAUUACUCACAAAUUAUCAUCAUCAUAUAAUCCAUCAACCAUAAAAUGAUCAUGAAUUAUUAUUCCAUUAAUUACCAAGUCAACAACUCAUAACAUAAAUUUAUCAUAUAAAACACCCAUGUAAUCAAAUCAUCAUAUCUCAAAAUCAUCAAAAUCAUCAUCAUAAUCAAAUAUCAAUUAUCAAAACAAUUACUCAAAAUGCAUAUUAUCCAAAAUCAUAUUACAUGCUCCCCCUAAAUAUAUGGCCAAUUUAAAAUUUUAAAAAAUGAUUUUAUCUAAAAACAUAUCAUAUUUGUCUCCCCCUAUCAAUCAUCAAAAUCAAACAAAGUUAUCAUGAUGAGUUGACAAGCUAUCAUCUUAAAUAUAAAACCAUGUAUCAUGAUACAGUACUAUUCACGCGUGAGAAGAAACAUAUAAUUUAAAAAUCAUAGCAAACAUCCAUAUAAUCCAAAAUGCAAAAUAAAAGGAAAAAUAAAACAGUCCAAAUAUAAGUAUAAAAGAUUACUUGUGAGUUUUAUGAUGAAAAUAGAUGUCAAAGAUGAUUUUAGACACAAGAAUGGAUGGGGAAUAAUUUGUAUGAAUCAAUUUGGAUUGAAAACGAAUGAGAAUGAUGGAUUUUGGAAUGAAAUCAAGUGAGGAGUAAUCGGCUUUUAAUGAGAGAGAGAUAACCGGAAUGCCGAAAGAGAGGGAGAAGAUGAAUAGUUGAAAUAGCACCCGAAUCCGGCUUGCCGGAUUUACUAACUGGCUAGCCGGUUAUUGGGCAGAAUCGUGAAGCCCGUAAACGGUUUGCCGGAUGCCUUUAACUGGAAAUCCGGUUGUGUUGCAACAAAUCCAUUCACGUGAAUUCGGCUUGCCGAUUUUUGAGAACCGAUAGGCCGGUUGUGAGGCAGUGAGCAUUCAAAAUGCAUCCAGUUUUCCGAAUUAGAGGAACCGGUUAUCCGAAUGUUGUCCCGAGAACAACCAAAGCUAAUCCGGUUUUCCGGAUUGAAAAUCCGGUUAUCCGGAAUUUGUCCCGAGAGAAAUCAAUAAGGAAAAAUGUUUUUUCGGAUCAAUGGAAAGGGAAUAUUUGCUAGCUCUUAUACUUGUACUACACACACCAUUUUAUUUCCGGCCUUAAAAAUUGAUUAAUUUUAAAUCAUUUUGAGAUUUAAAAUUUUUCAAUAAGUCAUUUAAUACAUGAGACAUAAAUGCAUACAAGACCAAGCAUAUGAAAUCGUAUCAAACAAUGAUGUCAAUUUUAUAAAUGAAUGAUGAUAUAACACAAUUAAUGGCAUAUGAAUUCACACAUAUAUAAGAGAUGGACAAUGAUGAUAGACAAUUAAGAAGAUGAAAUCAUAGACUAUACCAUCAUCAAAAUCAAACAAAGGCAUCAUGAUAAAUCACUCAAUAUUAUACACAAUGAUAAUUCCAUCAUGUAAACAUACAAGCAUACUUUCGCAAUUUCAUUUAUCAUGAUUCAUUCAACAAAAUUAAUAUGGCAAGAAUUGUUACCAAAACAAUUAAAUCAUCUUGCCUCAUCUUUUUCUCCUAGAUCAUGCUCAAAUGAUUAUCCUUACAAGCUUUCAUCAAGGAACUUCUCCACCAUUCAUUGAUUGUGGUACCUACAAAACAAAUUCAAGUUGUGUGCUUUGGUAUCCAAAUACUCUUGGAUCCUUGAACGUUAGAUUUAGUUCCUUUUGGAACCCAAAUAUAUUUUGCUCCGUAAUACGCAUUUCUCUUAACUGGACAUCUAAAACUCAUAUGACCAUUUCUAUUACAAUAAUGACAAAUAAUCUUAUGAUCACUUGUGGAGGUAGCCUUAACAAAAUAAGUUUUAUAAUAUUUUUGUUUCAAAUAAGGCUUAUACCCAAGUCCUCCUUUCUCAAACACACAUUUUUGAGUGCUUAGUAAUUUUUCUAAGUUCUUUUGACCACUUGUGAAUUUUAACACAAUUUCGUUGAGCUCAUUACUCUUUUUCUUAAGCACUUCAUUUUCUUUCAUUAAUUCAUCAACACGUGAUUUCUCAUGCUCAUAUGAAGUACUUUGUUUGCAUUUAAAUGAUGUAAUUCUAUCAUGCAACAUUUUAUUAUCUAACUCUAGUCCUUUAAUCUUUUCGUUUAAUGAAUCAUUGCAUUUUUGUAAAGCAUCCUUUUCAUUAUUCAAGUCAUCUACAUAUGAUUCUAAAUGCUCAUGUGAAGUGCUAGGUUUCUCAUUUGAUAAUGCAACUCUAUCAUGCAAUGUUUUAUUCUCUAAUUCUAGGCAUGUAAUCUUUGCACAUAGAGAUUCAUUUUCAUUUGUGAGCUCUACCAUUUUCUUUUUAAAACAUGCAUUCUUUUUACCAAUUUUCAUCCACUCAUCAUACAAUUCUUUAAACGCAUCAUGUAAUUCAUUAUAAGUAGGAAGAUCGUUUACCUCAUCAAGUCCAUCAUCCGAGUCAUCUCCAAUUGCCAUAAGUGCCAAAUUCGACACUUCAUGAAAUUCUUCCUCCUUUGUAGUCUCCUCAUACACAAUUUCGAGUUUUCUCCAAAUUUCAUAAGCAUUAGAACAAUUUGAAACUCUAUGAAAUUCCUUUUUAUCUAAGGCACAAAAUAAAGCAUUCAUAGCCUUGGAAUUUAAAGACAUCUUUUUCUUAUCCAACUCACUUAAAGCAUUCUUCCUAGGAAUGAAUGAACCAUCACAAACUAUUUCCCAUAGUUCAUAAUCUAAGGCUUGUAAAAACACUCUCAUCCUAGUUUUCCAAUAAGGAUAGUCAUUACCGUCGAAAAAUAGAGGUCUAGUGAUAGGUUGGCCUUCCAUGAUGGUUGAGCUAAUUUGGGUUGCUAUAGAUCUUUAACUCUAGAUGGUUAAGUCUACACAAGAGCACCUUGCUCUGAUACCAAAUGAAAUACUAAUUAGGCAAUCCAAGAGGGGGGGUGAAUUGGGAUUUUAAAAAUUAAGCUAAGUAAACCACACACAAAUCCAAUCUAAUGCCUUAAUAAAUUCGAAAACAAUAAAUUCAAUGAAAGCACAAUAAUAAAUGAGUAAGGGAAGAGAAAGCAAACUCAAGGAUUUUUACGUGGUUCGGCAAUCCCCGCCUACGUCCAUGCCUCCAAGCACACCGGGCUUGAGGAUUUCACUAUCCAAGCCUUUCCAAGGCUUCAAACGUUUACAAUUGACUUCAAGGUGUCAAUGAACCUUUACAACAAGAGAUUAUCUCUCCAAUCUCUUCACUUCAAGUGUUUCUCACACUUGUACUCUCACAAUUUGAUGAGAAAUAAAAAAUACAACAAUCAAUCUCUCUUUAAGAGUGGAUAUACAAAUUGAAGAACAAAAAUGAUUUAAUGAAUGAUGAUUCACGAAGUUGAAGCUCAAUAUAUGUUGUGUGCACUUGUUCUUGCUUGCUUGGAUUUUGCCAAAAAUGAAUUGGUUUUGAAGUUAUAUAGUUUGAACUCAAAAACUAGCCGUUUUGCACAUUAUGGGCGUAUCCAGUUUGCCGUUUAUGGAAUUCGGUAAGCCGGAUUUAUGUUACCGUUAAGGCAAAAUUUGGAAUUUUGCCUAUCCGACUUGCCGGUUACGAAAUCUGGUAAGCCGUUUGCGUUCCGGAUGCUUACUGCCCCGUAUCCAGUUUUUUGGUUUUUAUAUCCGGUAAGCCGGAUGCUACAGUAACCUGCACAGUGCACUAUUUUCUAAAAUUAUAGUUUGACCCCAAAACUUUACAAAACUAUAUUACGGCCCAAAACGUUAUGAAACUUUACAAAUAAGUCCAAUUUCAGAAUUUCUAAGUAAUGCUUUGUUAAUUCCAAAACUUCCUAAAAUUAUAUUAUAACCCAAAAAGCUAUGACACUUUUCAAAUAAGUCCUUCUCCAAAAUUUCAAGCAAUACUUGUUUAUUUCAAAGUUUUCAAAAUUCUUUCAAUUAAACCAUAAACUUUGAAAAACAACCAAUUUCAUAAAAUCAUUUUUCCAUUAAAUAUGAAACAUUUAUAAUGUGAAAAUAAUGAUUUAUUUAAAAAGAAUAAAAAGAAUCAAUUUCAUAAAAUCAUUUUUCCAUUAAAUAUAAAACCUUUAUAAUGUAAAAAUAAUGAUUUAUUUAAAAAGAAUAUUAAAUAAUUUGAGCUUA